ACGGAAGGCAGCAGUAGGGAAUUUUCGUCAAUGGGGGGAACCCUGAACGAGCAAUGCCGCGUGAGCGAAGAAGGUCUUCGGAUCGUAAAGCUCUGUUGUAAGAGAAAAAUGCUGCAUAUAGGAAAAGAUAUGCAGGUGAUGGUAUCUUACCAGAAAGUCAUGGCUAACUACGUGCCAGCAGACGCGGUAAUACGUAGGUGGCGAGCGUUAUCCGGAAUGAUUGGGCGUAAAGGGUGCGUAGGUGGCACGAUAAGUCUGAAGUCAAAGCUGGCAGCUCCACUGUCAUACGCUUUGGAAACUGUCGAGCUAGAGUGCAGGAGAGGGCGAUGGAACUCCAUGUGUAGCGGUAAAAUGCGUAGAUAUAUGGGAGAACACCGGUGGCGAAGGCGGUCGCCUGGCCUGUAACUGACACUGAGGCACGAAAGCGUGGGGAGCAAAUAGGAUUAGAUACCCUGGUA
rnacentral:rRNA from 1 species